CCAAGCCGCUAUCUUACUCCAGAUGCGUUGGCUUAGGCAAUUCCACAAUAAAAGAGUAACCACCAGCUCGCCACCUGUCCCCAUUACCCUUUUUUAUUUUGACCCGGCGGAGCCACCGAGCGAGAAAUUUCCAUUAUUAAGGCCAAAAAUAGACCGUCUCUCUCACGCACAAACACACACCACUGUGUGUUAAUAUAGAGAGAAAUAUAUAGAAAUUGAGAGAAUUGCAGGCUUUAAUUUCAUUUCGAAUUCAUUUGAUUUUCAUCUCGCAUUCCACUAUUUCUUUCUUUAAUUUCUGCAUACAUAUAUAGAUCUUGCGGUUAGGUACAUGUGUGUGUAUAUAAUAUAUACAUAUAAUUUGUAAUCAUUUCUAGAGAGAGGUGAGUACUGAUUCUUGUGAAAAUGGAAACGAUCUCAAAAGCAGAAAAGAGUGAAAAUAUGUUAAUCAAUUUUUGUUAAAAUUUUUAAAAUUUAGAUCUUAUCUAUUCAGUUUAGAAAAUUAGUUUUUAUAUUUUCUGGAUUAAAUUUAAUUAGUAAAUGAAAAUCAGAUCGAAGCCUUAAAAAUAAUUUAGAAGGCAUAAAGAGAGAAUUUUUGUUUAAAUUUCUAGAAAUUAUUGGAAAAUGCCGGGGCACGGGGAUUUGGACAGGCAAAUAGAGCAAUUGAUGGAGUGCAAGCCGCUGUCAGAGAUGGAGGUGAAAACUGUGUGCGAUCAGGCGCGGGCNN
rnacentral:lncRNA from 1 species